CAGGUGAAUAGUAACUCGAAGACUUGUAUUGCAAGCUUUCUCAGAAGACUUUCUCAGGCUCUUCAGGCAAUUUUGUGCUUUUUGCCAAUCAUUGUGUGCCGAAACCAAACUCUUCCAGUCGGGUCAGGACAGGUUAGUGAAAUGGACGACGCAAAAAUGGAAGUUGACCAUGAUGGGACAACUAUCAAAGAGGUGGAAACGGAUUGGAAAAAUCAGGAUGAUCUUUCACUCCAUUCCUUUGAUGAGGCAGA